UAAAAUCUCUCUAUAUAUUGUCGCGGUAAAAUCCGUUGAUUGCCUCCAUCGUUGAGAUUCCGGAAGGAUCGUUAUUGUUCGGAAGAAGAAAGUGCAGAGCAUAGAAGAGUUGGAAGGAGGAGUCUGGAGGAUGGGGCAGUCAUCGUCGAGGGAGGAGGAGGUAUCACCGGAGCUGCGUGAAGUACAAUCGCUGGCUGCGUCGACUGGAGCCCUUCCUUCACUCGAAAAGGCGUUUUCUGUUCUGUCUGAUCCACAAACUAAAUCGAUUCCCAUACAGUCUCUUCAGAAAUGUUUUGAAUUGACUUUCGAGAGGUUGAAGUUUGAGCAAGAUGUGAUGUUUGAGGAAUUCCCUCUACUAUUUACUCAUUUCGGAUCUACGAUAGUAGACUUGUUUUUUGUGGCCGAUAAGGAUGGAGUAAGUUGGAUUGAAUUCUUGAGGGGAUACACCAAGUGUUGCGCCAGGGCGGCUGGUUCGGCAUUACUCAAUAAUUUACUGCAAGUGUUUACUGUGACAUGUUCGAAGGCUGGGAUUUCGGUUGGUUUGAAAUUCGAGGUGUAUGAUGGGGAUUGUAAGAUAAGUGGUUUGUUUUCUACGCAUGAUGUUGUUAUGCUUCUUUGGAUUAGUUGGAUUAUUUCGUGGGAUUCUAGAGCAUUGAGAUCGAAUAUGCAGAAGAGUGGAAGGGAAUGCCGUGUUCCGGAUGUUUCUCAUCUUGUAUUAUCAGCUAUUGAAUCAUGUGUGGAAGAGGGCAAUAAAUUGGACUUUUGGGAUUCUUCUGUUUCUAAAUUGGAUGUUCAACUUCAUGCUCCGAAAUGUCAUAUGUGGGCAUUGAAGACAGUACCAAACCUUGCAGAUUGUUUGACAGAAUUCGUCCAUACAAGACUUUGCUACUCUGCAGCUCAUGAGGAAAUAUCAGAGCAAUCGUGCUCGUCUUCUGAGGAAAGAUCCUUAUCAUCAGUUUCAGAAAGUAAACUUUUGACUAGUGGAAUGGCCUGGGCCAUCUCUCUUACCCUAAGAGGUAACAUACAUGAAGAGAUGUCAAAGAUUUGCUUCCCAAGUGACAUUGAUGAAGUGAAUGAGAACAUACUUUACAGGUCAUCAGUUCAUGGGAAAGGUAUCAACCGAUUUUGGUCGAAUAUUGAAGGCUACAAUGGUCCUUUACUAUUACUUAUCUCAGCCUGCAAGGAGUUAAACGAUGGAAGAAGAUGGGUCAUUGGUGCACUCACUCAUCAGGGUUUUGAAAGUAAGGAGAUGUUUUAUGGAACAUCCGGCAGUCUCUACGCAUUAACUCCGGUGUUUCAUGCAUAUUUAUCUUUUGGAAGGGAGAAGAACUUUGUCUAUAGCCAUUUGCAUACAACUGGUAGAGUGUAUGAACCUCACCCAAAACCAGUGGGAAUUGCAUUUGGUGGAUCUACUGGAAAUGAACGCAUAUUUAUCGAUGAGGAUUUUGCUAGAGUUACCGUACGGCAUCAUGCGGUUGAUAAAACAUAUCAACAUGGAGCCCUUUUCCCAAAUCAGGGGUUCUUGCCUACUGAAGCCUUGGUGUUAGAAGUAGAGGCAUGGGGAUUAGGGGGCCGGGCUGCUCGAAAAUUCCAAGAUGCUUAUAAAAAGCGGGAAGAACUUUUCACCGAGCAGAGGCGGAAGGUUGACCUGAAAACAUUUGCCAAUUGGGAAGACUCGCCAGAAAAGAUGAUGAUGGACUUGAUGUCUAAUCCAAACACAGUCCGGCGAGAAGAUCGAUGAUUCUCAAUGACAGUAGCUACUACAACAGCCUUGUUUCUGUAUAUCAGAUUUCGAAGCCUUAGCGUACCAUGUCAAGGAAAUCAUGCUUGGUAAAGGUGUAAAUAGCCAAGAACAACAAUCAACGCACAUCUGAAAAUAGCAAGAAAUAGUUUAGAUAUCGGUACCUUGAGGAGAUUGCGCUCCAAUCGCUUUUGAAUUCUGCUGGGCAAGAGAUAGAGAACGCCGGACAUUAGGAGAACCUUGUUUCUCAUUUGUACUGGGCGGCGAACUCCUACUUUUAAUGUGGAUAUUGUUGUGUUGCACAUCCGGACUUGAUCUUGGAGAUCCAUUAGCUAUUGCUUUAGCUCUUGCUGAUUCAGUUGCCUGCAUAUAACUUGGUCGAGAAAUACUGCCGCUGCUGUGUCUCCGGUCCUGAUGCUCAUCACGAGCAGGCAUUGCUGAACCAAAGGAGUUGCGCCUCAUUCCCGUUUUACGAUCCUUUGGUAUUGCGCCUCUGGUGUUCCUGUGUUUGGCCUCUUGCUUAUUGCUGCUGCCCGUGCUUUUCUCAGGUUCAGGUGACAUCUGUCCAGAAGGUGUUACCGGAGAUUCCGUGACUCUUUUAAGGCUAAUUGGAGAAGUUUCAGGUGAUGACUUGUGCACUGAGGGGCGUACAUCGGAUUUGGUAUUCUCAUGAAGCUUGUGUUGAUCUGAUUCGAGCUUUUUGAACUGUGGUGAGUCUGCAGCCACUAAAGGGUUAGUACAUUCACCUGAGACUGACUCGGUGCCUUUGUGGCUCUCCAACUCAUUCGUGGAGGGAUACGAUAAUUCAGUUCCUAAUGUGUAGGAAUUACUAUCAUCGAUUACAUGCCCUGAACGGCCUCUGCCUCCGGGAUGGUCUGUCGUAUCUAAAACUUCAGAUUCCUGUGGGAGGGCAAUGGCUCCACUCUUCGGUACAUCUGUUGAGUCGAGAGUAGAAGAAAUGGAAAGUUCGGUGCCACAUUCAGGUCGAGAAACUUGAAUAGCUGAAUUAUUUGAAGCAGGAGCUAUCUUAUUCGAAGAUGUUGUGUCUGAACUCAGUUCGUCAUGUUUUGACGAUGGAGCGGCACAAGAAGUGGGGCUGCUUCCUUGCAGUGAAAAUUUCUCAGUUUCAGGCAGCUCGGCGACAAGAUGUCCCCGAUCAGGUCUGCAUUCCUGCUCAGCCGCAUUUUCCGGGAGAGUUUCUGUGUCGACAUCUGAUACCAGAACCUUUUCUUUCAUCCCAGUAGGAUCAGGCUGCUGCUUUAUAUCAUAUCCAGCAGAUUCAUCAAUUAUUGGCAGCUUCGGGUGACUUAACGAGCUCAUAACCGAUGACCGUAGCUCAAACUUGUCUGAAUCAUUAUGUUCGGAUUGACCUGAGAUUCUCCCACUGCCUUCGGAGUCUUCAGUCUCCGGUGGUGGUUCACCGGCAACCUUCGACGAAACCGACAUCCAUCUCUCAAGCCAUUUCCAGGCAGUGUCAGAUUUCAAAGGGUCACAUCUAAUUCCUAGAGAUUGAGUCCUUGGUGUUGAUUCCAUAAGCUUAAAUCACAAUCAAUUAUACAUAGUCAGGACUUAGAUGCUUUUGCUCAGCUAUGUAACAUGAAAAAGAGAUCAGAAUAUCAAACAUAUAUAUAUAUAUAUAGUGCUGGUAUGCAUUUAUUUA